UACGGUGGGGGCUAGCGUUGCUCGGAAUUACUGGGCGUAAAGCGCGCGUAGGCGGCUUAGCAAGUUAGAGGUGAAAGCCCGAAGCUCAACUUCGGAAUUGCCUUUAAAACUGCAAAGCUAGAAUCAUGGAGAGGUUAGUGGAAUUCCGAGUGUAGAGGUGAAAUUCGUAGAUAUUCGGAAGAACACCAGUGGCGAAGGCGACUAACUGGACAUGUAUUGACGCUGAGGUGCGAAAGCGUGGGGAGCAAACAGG
rnacentral:rRNA from 1 species